GACGAACGCUGGCGGCGUGCUUAACACAUGCAAGUCGAACGGAAAGGCCCCUUUGGGGGUACUCGAGUGGCGAACGGGUGAGUAACACGUGAGUAACCUGCCCUUGACUUCGGGAUAACUUCAGGAAACUGGGGGUAAUACCGGAUAGGAAUCCUUGCUGCAUGGUGGGGGUUGGAAAGCUUCGGCGGUUUUGGAUGGACUCGCGGCUUAUCAGCUUGUUGGUGGGGUAGUGGCUUACCAAGGCUUUGACGGGUAGCCGGCCUGAGAGGGCGACCGGCCACAUUGGGACUGAGAUACGGCCCAGACUCCUACGGGAGGCAGCAGUGGGGAAUAUUGCACAAUGGGCGGAAGCCUGAUGCAGCAACGCCGCGUGCGGGAUGACGGCCUUCGGGUUGUAGACCGCUUUCAGCAGGGGCGAAGCUUUUGUGACGGUACCUGCAGAAGAAGCACCGGCUAACUACGUG
rnacentral:rRNA from 1 species